GACGAACGCUGGCGGCGUGCUUAACACAUGCAAGUCGAACGGAGCACCCUUGAAAGAGAUUUCGGUCAAUGGAGAGGAAUGCUUAGUGGCGGACGGGGGAGUAACGCGUGAGGAACCUGCCUUUCAGUGGGGGACAACAGUUGGAAACGACUGCUAAUACCGCAUAACAUAUGGAUGUCGCAUGGCAGCCAUAUCAAAGAUUUAUCGCUGAGAGAUGGCCUCGCGUCUGAUUAGCUAGUUGGUGGGGUAACGGCCCACCAAGGCGACGAUCAGUAGCCGGACUGAGAGGUUGGCCGGCCACAUUGGGACUGAGAUACGGCCCAG
rnacentral:rRNA from 1 species